CUUGAUAGACUGACAGACCUAUUGGUGGGGAAACACAGAAACAAAGAAUGGGAAAAACAGUGAAAGGCAGAAUGGGGAACUGAGAAAAUUUAGAAGAAAAGUCCAUCCAAGAUUCCCGUCUUAUGGGCCGCGCGGAAAAUCUGGUAACACUGGGGCGCCAGGAUCCGAAGGAUCCAUCCAAAAAGCCAUGCUCCUUCGGUGUGGUUGUGAAUGUGCCAAUGGUAAGACAGAGCCCUUGAAGCUGCCUAGAUCCUCGUUAACAUCCGGGUCGCAUCGCCGGACAUGGACAAUAAUGACAUAAUUGAGAGCAAAAUUGCCAGCACGGCCCUCCUUUUGCCUGCAUCAUCUGCCUCACCAUAAGCUCUCCCUCUUCCUCCUGCAUC
rnacentral:lncRNA from 1 species